UACGGGGGGGGCAAGCGUUGUUCGGAAUUACUGGGCGUAAAGGGCUCGUAGGCGGCCAACUAAGUCAGACGUGAAAUCCCUCGGCUUAACCGGGGAACUGCGUCUGAUACUGGAUGGCUGGAGGUUGGGAGAGGGAUGCGGAAUUCCAGGUGUAGCGGUGAAAUGCGUUGAUAUCUGGAGGAACACCGGUGGCGAAGGCGGCAUCCUGGACCGGUAUUGACGCUGAGGCGCGAAAGCCAGGGGAGCAAACGGG
rnacentral:rRNA from 1 species